CUACGUGCCAGCAGCCGCGGUAAUACGUAGGGUGCGAGCGUUAAUCGGAAUUACUGGGCGUAAAGCGGGCGCAGACGGUUACUUAAGCAGGAUGUGAAAUCCCCGGGCUCAACCUGGGAACUGCGUUCUGAACUGGGUAACUAGAGUGUGUCAGAGGGAGGUAGAAUUCCACGUGUAGCAGUGAAAUGCGUAGAGAUGUGGAGGAAUACCGAUGGCGAAGGCAGCCUCCUGGGAUAACACUGACGUUCAUGCCCGAAAGCGUGGGUAGCAAACAGGAUUAGAUACCCUGGUAGUCCUAGCCGUAAACGAUGGACACUAGGUGUGGGGGAAUAUUUCUUCCGUGCCGCAGCUAACGCAAUAAGUACCCCGCCUGGGGAGUACGACCGCAAGGUUGAAACUCAAAGGAAUUGACGGGGGCCCGCACAAGCGGUGGAGUAUGUGGUUUAAUUCGACGCAACGCGAAGAACCUUACCAGGUCUUGACAUUGAKGACAGAACUAGAGAUAG
rnacentral:rRNA from 1 species